rnacentral:rRNA from 1 species
AUUGUACGCUGGCGGCAUGCCUUACACAUGCAAGUCGAACGGUAACAGGUCUUCGGAUGCUGACGAGUGGCGAACGGGUGAGUAAUACAUCGGAACGUGCCUAGUAGUGGGGGAUAACUACUCGAAAGAGUGGCUAAUACCGCAUGAGAUCUACGGAUGAAAGCAGGGGAUCGCAAGACCUUGUGCUACUAGAGCGGCCGAUGGCAGAUUAGGUAGUUGGUGGGAUAAAAGCUUACCAAGCCGACGAUCUGUAGCUGGUCUGAGAGGACGAUCAGCCACACUGGGACUGAGACACGGCCCAGAAUCCUACGGGAGGCAGCAGUGGGGAAUUUUGAACAAUGGGCGCAAGCCUGAUCCAGCAAUGCCGCGUGCAGGAUGAAGGCCUUCGGGUUGUAAACUGCUUUUGUACGGAACGAAAAGCCCCAGGUUAAUACCCUGGGGUCAUGACGGUACCGUAAGAAUAAGCACCGGCUAACUACGUGCCAGCCGCCGCCGUAA